ACGGAAGGCAGCAGUAGGGAAUCUUCCACAAUGGACGAAAGUCUGAUGGAGCAACGCCGCGUGAGUGAUGAAGGUUUUCGGAUCGUAAAACUCUGUUGUAAGGGAAGAGCAAGUACGUUAGGUAAUGAACGUACCUUGACGGUACCUUAUCAGAAAGCCACGGCUAACUACGUGCCAGCAGCCGCGGUAAUACGUAGGUGGCAAGCGUUGUCCGGAUUUAUUGGGCGUAAAGCGCGCGCAGGUGGUUUCUUAAGUCUGAUGUGAAAGCCCCCGGCUCAACCGGGGAGGGUCAUUGGAAACUGGGAGACCUGAGGGCAGAAGAGGAUAGUGGAAUUCCAAGUGUAGCGGUGAAAUGCGUAGAGAUUUGGAGGAACACCAGUGGCGAAGGCGACUGUCUGGUCUGUAACUGACACUGAGGCGCGAAAGCGUGGGGAGCAAACAGGAUUAGAUACCCUGGUA
rnacentral:rRNA from 1 species